GUUUGAUCCUGGCUCAGGACGAACGCUGGCGGCAGGCUUAACACAUGCAAGUCGAACGCUCNUUCGGAGAGAGUGGCAGACGGGUGAGUAACGCGNGGGAANUACCCAGUACUACGGAACAACAGUUAGAAUGACUGCUAAUACCGUAUACGCCCNCCGGGGGANNGANNAUCGGUANNGGANAGCCCGCGUUUGAUUAGCUAGUUGGUGAGGUAAUGGCUCACCAAGGCGACGAUCAAUAGCUGGUCUGAGAGGAUGAUCAGCCACACUGGGACUGAGACACGGCCCAGACUNCUACGGGAGGCAGCAGUGGGGAAUAUUGGACAAUGGGCGAAAGCCUGAUCCAGCCAUGCCGCGUGUGUGAUGAAGGCCCUAGGGUUGUAAAGCACUUUUCAACGGUGAAGNUAAUGACGGUAACCGUAGAAGNGAGCUCCGGCUAACUUCGUGCCAGCAGCCGCGGUAAUAAGG
rnacentral:rRNA from 1 species